CUGGACCCCCUACAGCUAUGUGAACGUGUUAGAUCAGUGCCCUGGAGGCCAGGUACCCGCCCGAGGACUUCUACAUUGAACUUAGACACCUCAGCCGCCCCGCUGAGCCACACUCACCAG
rnacentral:misc_RNA from 1 species